GCUGACGAGUGGCGGACGGGUGAGUAAUACUUAGGGAUCUGCCUUUAGGUGGGGGAUAACUAUUGGAAACGAUAGCUAAUACCGCAUAAUGUUUACGGACCAAAGGGGGCUUCGGCUCCCGCCUGAAGAUGAACCUAAGCGAGAUUAGCUUGUUGGUGAGGUAAUGGCUCACCAAGGCGACGAUCUCUAGCUGUUCUGAGAGGAAGAUCAGCCACACUGGGACUGAGACACGGCCCAGACUCCUACGGGAGGCAGCAGUGGGGAAUAUUGCACAAUGGGGGGAACCCUGAUGCAGCCAUGCCGCGUGUGUGAAGAAGGCCUUAGGGUUGUAAAGCACUUUCAGUUGCGAGGUAAGAUUGAUGGUUAAUACC
rnacentral:rRNA from 1 species